AUAAGAGAAUAAAAGCAGGCUGCCCCCAAGCCAGCAGUAGCAAAGCUGUCCGUUUUGGUUUCUCACCGUGGAAGCUUUGUUCUUUUGGUCUUUUGUAAUAGGUCUUGCUGUUGCUCAGUGUUUGGGUCUACAUUACUUUUGGAGCUGUGGCACUCCGCGUGAAGGCUUGCAGCUUCACCCUUGAAGCCAGUGAGACCAUGAACCCACCAGGAGGAGUGAAGGCUGUCUUGUCUUAAGUAGUCCUACCGGCUGUAACGGUUGUUGUGAAAGUCUGUAUCCUCACUCGUGAGCCAGCAAGACCAUGAAUCAACUAGGAGGAAGAAACUCCGAACAUAUGCGAACAUCAGGAGGAACAAACUCUGGAUACGCUGCUUUUAAAAGUUGUAAUGCUCACUGAGCAGGUUUGCGGCUUCAUUCUUGAAGUCAGUGAGACCAAGAACCCACCAAUUCUGGACACAAAAUCUGUUUGCCUGUUUAGAGGCAUACUACGGGGUUACAUUAGAAGCCCACCGAGAUAAUCCAAUACAAUCUUCUGAUCUCAAAAUCCUUCACUUAAUGACAUCUUUGGCAACUUGAAAUAAUAAUCACAGGUGUCUGACUUUUAAGGUGAGAGAACUAAGUUGUGUGACUCCAAAAGAGCAGAAACCAGGAACUGGAGAAUGGAGGACCAAAGAUCAGAGAACAAACGGUUGUAAAUCUCUCACUCCAGCAUGGCCCACCGUAUACCUGGAGGAAAGGAAUGUCCCUAUCUGAAGACACAGAGACACCAAGAAGAAUCCGAACAGGACUUGCUAAGUUCCCUCCUGUUUAUAACCAUUAGCUAAUACCCUUUUACCCAAUCAUACUUCUGCAUGACUGUUCAUGAACAUACACAGUUUUCCCUGUUUCUUUGGAUCUUAAUUUCUGAAGGUUCCCGGGUCACAUAAAGCUUGUUUUGUUCUCUUUUGUUUGAGACAAGGUCUCACUCUGUCAGCCAGGCUGGA
rnacentral:lncRNA from 1 species